rnacentral:rRNA from 1 species
GCAGCACUUAUCGUGCUGGGAGACAGUGUCAGGCGGGCAGUUUGACUGGGGCGGUCGCCUCCUAAAGAGUAACGGAGGCGCUCAAAGGUUCCCUCAGAAUGGUUGGAAAUCAUUCAUAGAGUGUAAAGGCAUAAGGGAGCUUGACUGCGAGACCUACAAGUCGAGCAGGGUCGAAAGACGGACUUAGUGAUCCGGUGGUUCCGCAUGGAAGGGCCAUCGCUCAACGGAUAAAAGCUACCCCGGGGAUAACAGGCUUAUCUCCCCCAAGAGUUCACAUCGACGGGGAGGUUUGGCACCUCGAUGUCGGCUCAUCGCAUCCUGGGGCUGUAGUCGGUCCCAAGGGUUGGGCUGUUCGCCCAUUAAAGCGGUACGCGAGCUGGGUUCAGAACGUCGUGAGACAGUUCGGUCCCUAUCCGUCGUGGGCGUAGGAAAUUUGAGAGGAGCUGUCCUUAGUACGAGAGGACCGGGAUGGACAUACCUCUGGUGUACCAGUUGUCGUGCCAACGGCAUAGCUGGGUAGCUAUGUAUGGACGGGAUAAGUGCUGAAAGCAUCUAAGCAUGAAGCCCCCCUCGAGAUGAGAUUUCCCAACUUCGGUUAUAAGAUCCCUCAAAGAUGAUGAGGUAAAUAGGUUCGAGGUGGAAGCGUAGCGAUACGUGGAGCUGACGAAUACUAAUCGAUCG